rnacentral:rRNA from 1 species
AUUGAACGCUGGCGGCAUGCUUUACACAUGCAAGUCGAACGGCAGCGCGGGCUUCGGCCUGGCGGCGAGUGGCGAACGGGUGAGUAAUACAUCGGAACGUGCCCAGUAGUGGGGGAUAGCUCGGCGAAAGCCGGAUUAAUACCGCAUACGACCUGAGGGUGAAAGCGGGGGAUCUUCGGACCUCGCGCUAUUGGGGCGGCCGAUGGCAGAUUAGCUAGUUGGUGGGGUAAAGGCCUACCAAGGCGACGAUCUGUAGCUGGUCUGAGAGGACGACCAGCCACACUGGGACUGAGACACGGCCCAGACUCCUACGGGAGGCAGCAGUGGGGAAUUUUGGACAAUGGGCGAAAGCCUGAUCCAGCAAUGCCGCGUGCGUGAUGAAGGCCUUCGGGUUGUAAAGCACUUUUGGCGGGAACGAAAAGGACUGUGCCAAUACCACGGUUCGAUGACGGUACCCGCAGAAUAAGCACCGGCUAACUACGUG